rnacentral:tRNA from 1 species
GCCUGGCUGGCUCAGUGGUUGAGCAUCUGCCUUCAGCUCAGGUCGUGAUCCCGGGGUCCUGGGAUCGAGUCCCACAUCAGGCU